UACGUAGGGGGCUAGCGUUGUCCGGAAUCAUUGGGCGUAAAGCGCGUGUAGGCGGUCCGGUAAGUCCGCUGUGAAAGUCGGGGGCUCAACCCUCGAAUGCCGGUGGAUACUGUCGGGCUAGAGUGCGGAAGAGGCGAGUGGAAUUCCUGGUGUAGCGGUGAAAUGCGCAGAUAUCAGGAAGAACACCAAUGGCGAAAGCAGCUUUCUGGGACGGUACUGACGCUGGAGAACGCGAAAGCGUGGGGAGCGAACAGG
rnacentral:rRNA from 1 species